UACGUAGGGUGCGAGCGUUAAUCGGAAUUACUGGGCGUAAAGCGUGCGCAGGCGGUUCGUUGUGUCGGUGGUGAAAGCCCCGGGCUUAACCUGGGAAUGGCCAUGGAAACUGGCGAACUGGAGUGUGGCAGAGGGGGGUGGAAUUCCGCGUGUAGCAGUGAAAUGCGUAGAGAUCGGGAGGAACACCCGUGGCGAAGGCGGCCAUCUGGACCAGCACUGACGCUGAGGCACGAAAGCGUGGGGAGCAAACAGG
rnacentral:rRNA from 1 species